GAACGAACGCUGGCGGCAUGCCUAACCCAUGCAAGUCGAACGAGACCUUCGGGUCUAGUGGCGCACGGGUGCGUAACGCGUGGGAACCUGCCCUUAGGUUCGGAAUAACUCCCCGAAAGGGGUGCUAAUACCGGAUAAUGUCUUCGGACCAAAGAUUUAUCGCCGUUGGAUGGGCCCGCGUUGGAUUAGCUAGUUGGUAGGGUAAAAGCCUACCAAGGCGACGAUCCAUAGCUGGUCUGAGAGGAUGAUCAGCCACACUGGGACUGAGACACGGCCCAGACUCCUACGGGAGGCAGCAGUGGGGAAUAUUGGACAAUGGGCGAAAGCCUGAUCCAGCAAUGCCGCGUGAGUGAUGAAGGCCUUAGGGUUGUAAAGCUCUUUUACCCGGGAUGAUAAUGACAGUACCGGGAGAAUAAGCUCCGGCUAACUCCGUG
rnacentral:rRNA from 1 species